GACGUAGGGGGCCAGCGUUGUUCGGAAUUACUGGGUGUAAAGGGUUCGUAGGCGGUGUAGCAAGUCGGGAGUGAAAUCUCUGGGCUUAACCCAGAGGCUGCUUCCGAAACUGCUGUGCUUGAGUGUGGGAGAGGCGCGUGGAAUUGCAGGUGUAGCGGUGAGAUGCGUAGAUAUCUGCAGGAACACCCGUGGCGAAAGCGGCGCGCUGGACCACUACUGACGCUGAGGAACGAAAGCUAGGGGAGCAAACAGG
rnacentral:rRNA from 1 species